GGCCGUCGUUGCGAGCGGAUAUGUCGACGCUCGUCCCACUUCCGCUAACCGGGAACGCGAACGUUGCAGCUGCGACGCAACUCGUGCACCGGUGAGAGAAAACGCGGAAACGAUCUGAAAAUCUCGCGAAAUCCCGGGGUCACGGGGACUUUUCAUCUGGAUCGGUGUGGGGAUCUGUGCGGACCGUUCCUCCUCGUUCGACGACGCGCGACGUCUGUUUGUGUCUCGGCGAUUAGCUCGUCGCCGACGUUCUCACACGAGAUUCGUACGUACAGUGUGUCGAGCUGGAAUUAUUGAAUGUUAUUGGACACGCGUGAGGGGGAACGGAGUGGGGGUGGUUCCGGGGUUGUUCCAGGGUGGUUCGGGGGUGGUGCAUUGUAACAUGGAGGCCCGGAGGCUGUUCCGGUUCCCGUGAAAUCACUGGGUUACUUUGCUACCGGAUAAACAUUCCGUGACGUGGCUUUGUUGCCCUUUCAAGAGUUGGCAUUGUUUGUUUAAAAUAGGAAGCUAAACAGUGCUGGUCAACUUUGUGGAUCCAACGCCGAAGAUCCUAGAGAUUUAGUAUCGGUAAUUUAGUAUCGAAAUGACUAAUGUAUUGGAGGGCAGUGUUCAAGUGACGUUCGUGGUUCAGCUUUGGAAAUCGUCAGCUAGAAGAAGGAAGAUUUUCAUCUUGACUCGUCGUUAUAGAGCCAAACGGAGUUUAGCUAGGAUAAAUGUAUCGCGGGUGAGUGCCUAAAUGACUCGGGGCAGAAAAAGAGAGCAAGAGAGAGUGGUGUGUAAAAAGGUUCCGGACGGUGGAUCCCGUGGACGGGGCUAAUCAGCGGUGUAAUUUCGAUUUUUCGUCUAGUCGACAAGAAUUACGCGGCGGAAAGGACGCUCGGCCGGUGUUGCGGAACGCGGAUUCCUGACCGCUCGACGGGAAAAGAAAAAACCGUGGACCAUUCCGCUGGAUCGUCCGAGGAUUAUCGUGUCCUGUCAUCCCAGGGAUCCGAUUUUAAUGAAAGCUUUUCACGAGACCGCCGACCGCUCCCUCGCCGCGUUCCCGAUUGACAGCGCCCCGUUGCCACCCCUGACGAAAUAAUGCGAGCGAAGCGCAUCGAGGAGGAGACGCGCUUCAGACUGCUAAGGUACACGCACCGCGCCAAGUGUCGCAAGAUCAUUUAGUCGGGGCAUCGGAGAUCAUUGAGAACAGACUGACGGAGGAGGAGACUGACACCGUAACCAACUCUCUCACCAACACCACCACCACCACCACUACCACCAAAACCACCUGGCUGUGAUUUCAUAACAUUCGACCCCCAUCAACGAUCCAUCGAACCUCUCUAGUGUUUGCUCGCGUGUGCGUUCGAGACGAGUGACAACACAACCAAUAAUCAUUAAUCGAAGCGGACACAUUCGGCGAGAAUACAGUGCGAAAUUCGGUGAGAUCGUGCCGCGGCUCGUCGUGAUCCGCCCGCGGACAGGAUCGCAGGAUCUUCGCUCGAUCCCAAAGGAAUUGGAGGAGACGGCUCGGCGAGGACGUUUUUCGGUGCCGGAUU